rnacentral:rRNA from 1 species
UACGUAGGGGGCAAGCGUUAUCCGGAUUUACUGGGUGUAAAGGGUGCGCAGGCGGCGAGUUAAGUCAGCGGUAAAAUUUCGGGGCUCAACCCCGACAAGCCGUUGAAACUGGCUUGCUAGAGUGGGCGAGAAGUAUGCGGAAUGCGUGGUGUAGCGGUGAAAUGCAUAGAUAUCACGCAGAACCCCGAUUGCGAAGGCAGCAUACCGGCGCCCAGCUGACGCUGAGGCACGAAAGCGUGGGGAGCAAACAGG